GGGGAAUAUUGCACAAUGGGCGCAAGCCUGAUGCAGCGACGCCGCGUGAGGGAUGAAGGCCUUCGGGUUGUAAACCUCUUUCGUCAGGGAACAAGGCACUGCUUUUUGGUGGUGUUGAGGGUACCUGGAUAAGAAGCGCCGGCUAACUACGUGCCAGCAGCCGCGGUAAUACGUAGGGCGCAAGCGUUGUCCGGAAUUAUUGGGCGUAAAGAGCUCGUAGGCGGCUGGUCGCGUCUGUCGUGAAAACUUCCGGCUCAACCGGGGGCUUGCGGUGGGUACGGGCCGGCUAGAGUGCGGUAGGGGUAACUGGAACUCCUGGUGUAGCGGUGGAAUGCGCAGAUAUCAGGAAGAACACCGAUGGCGAAGGCAGGUUACUGGGCCGUUACUGACGCUGAGGAGCGAAAGCGUGGGGAGCGAACAGGAUUAGAUACCCUGGUAGUCCACGCUGUAAACGUUGGGCACUAGGUGUGAGGCUCCUUUCCGGGGGUUUUGCGCCGUAGCUAACGCAUUAAGUGCCCCGCCUGGGGAGUACGGCCGCAAGGCUA
rnacentral:rRNA from 1 species